rnacentral:tRNA from 2 species
GCCUCGUUAUAUCAGUCGGUAGAUAGUGUGACUCUUACGCAAUAAAGCCGAUUGAUCACACAGUCAUGGGUUCGAGCCCCAUACGAGGCU